GAUAUAAUUGGACAAAUCGUCAACUUUGGGUCGCUGGAAAACAAAAGCAUUAAAGGCAAAGAUAACAUGAGGCUUUUGAUCGAGCUACGUGACCAUAGUAAUGUCAAGAUCAUGUGUACUCUGUGGGGUGGUUAUGCUAAACAAGUAUACGACUACAGUAUGAGUAACAUGUCCAUUAUGAUAAUUUGUAUUAUCAGGUUCUGUUCCAUUAAAGAGUGGAAAGGGGUUUACUCCAUAUCUAGCGGGUUUAAUUCCACCCAA